AUUCGCCCUUAGAGUUUGAUCCUGGCUCAGAGCGAACGCUGGCGGCAGGCUUAACACAUGCAAGUCGAGCGGGCGUAGCAAUACGUCAGCGGCAGACGGGUGAGUAACGCGUGGGAACGUACCUUUUGGUUCGGAACAACACAGGGAAACUUGUGCUAAUACCGGAUAAGCCCUUACGGGGAAAGAUUUAUCGCCGAAAGAUCGGCCCGCGUCUGAUUAGCUAGUUGGUGAGGUAAUGGCUCACCAAGGCGACGAUCAGUAGCUGGUCUGAGAGGAUGAUCAGCCACAUUGGGACUGAGACACGGCCCAAACUCCUACGGGAGGCAGCAGUGGGGAAUAUUGGACAAUGGGGGCAACCCUGAUCCAGCCAUGCCGCGUGAGUGAUGAAGGCCCUAGGGUUGUAAAGCUCUUUUGUGCGGGAAGAUAAUGACGGUACCGCAAGAAUAAGCCCCGGCUAACUUCGUGCCAGCAGCCGCGGUAAUACGAAGGGGGCUAGCGUUGCUCGGAAUCACUGGGCGUAAAGGGUGCGUAGGCGGGUCUUUAAGUCAGGGGUGAAAUCCUGGAGCUCAACUCCAGAACUGCCUUUGAUACUGAAGAUCUUGAGUUCGGGAGAGGUGAGUGGAACUGCGAGUGUAGAGGUGAAAUUCGUAGAUAUUCGCAAGAACACCAGUGGCGAAGGCGGCUCACUGGCCCGAUACUGACGCUGAGGCACGAAAGCGUGGGGAGCAAACAGGAUUAGAUACCCCGGUAGUCCACGCCGUAAACGAUGAAUGCCAGCCGUUAGUGGGUUUACUCACUAGUGGCGCAGCUAACGCUUUAAGCAUUCCGCCUGGGGAGUACGGCCGCAAGGUUGAACUCAAGGAAUUGACGGGGACCCGCACAAGCGGUGGAUGAUGUGGUUUAAUUCGAUGCAACGCGAAAACCUUACCCACCUUUGACAUGUAUGGA
rnacentral:rRNA from 1 species